AUUGAACGCUGGCGGCAUGCUUUACACAUGCAAGUCGAACGGCAGCGCGGGCUUCGGCCUGGCGGCGAGUGGCGAACGGGUGAGUAAUGCAUCGGAACGUGCCCAGUAGUGGGGGAUAGCCCGGCGAAAGCCGGAUUAAUACCGCAUACGACCUGAGGGUGAAAGCGGGGGACCGAAAGGCCUCGCGCUAUUGGAGCGGCCGAUGUCGGAUUAGCUAGUUGGUGGGGUAAAGGCUUACCAAGGCGACGAUCCGUAGCUGGUCUGAGAGGACGACCAGCCACACUGGGACUGGGACACGGCCCAGACUCCUACGGGAGGCAGCAGUGGGGAAUUUUGGACAAUGGGGGCAACCCUGAUCCAGCCAUGCCGCGUGCGGGAAGAAGGCCUUCGGGUUGUAAACCGCUUUUGUUCGGGAAGAAAUCCUCUGGGCUAAUACCCCGGGGGAUGACGGUACCGGAAGAAUAAGCACCGGCUAACUACGUG
rnacentral:rRNA from 1 species